rnacentral:rRNA from 1 species
CCUACGGGAGGCAGCAGUGAGGAAUAUUGGUCAAUGGACGAGAGUCUGAACCAGCCAAGUAGCGUGAAGGAUGACUGCCCUAUGGGUUGUAAACUUCUUUUAUAAAGGAAUAAAACGAGGCACGUGUGCCUUUCUGCAUGUACUUUAUGAAUAAGGAUCGGCUAACUCCGUGCCAGCAGCCGCGGUAAUACGGAGGAUCCGAGCGUUAUCCGGAUUUAUUGGGUUUAAAGGGAGCGUAGAUGGGUGUUUAAGUCAGUUGUGAAAGUUUGCGGCUCAACCGUAAAAUUGCAAUUGAUACUGGCAGUCUUGAGUACAGUUGAGGUAGGCGGAAUUCGUGGUGUAGCGGUGAAAUGCUUAGAUAUCACGAAGAACCCCGAUUGCGAAGGCAGCUUACUAAACUGUGACUGACAUUGAUGCUCGAAAGUGUGGGUAUCAAACAGGAUUAGAUACCCGAGUAGUC